AAUUUAUUGGGAAAUGAGACUUUCAUUAAGGGAACUGGAAUUGAGUUUGUUGAAGAGUACAAGUAUCUGGGAACCGUCAUCGAUAAAAACCUGAAGUUUGAUGUGAAUUGUGAUGCAGUCUGUAAGAAGGGACAGCAACGUUUGUACUUCCUUAGGAAGUUAAACACUUUUAAUGUAGAUAGGAAAAUGAUGUCCUUAUUUUAUAAGUCUUUUAUUGAAUCAGUUCUUAUGUUUGCCAUGACUGCUUGGUACGGUAACCUGAAUAUCAGGGAAAAAAGCCACCUCAGCCAUAUUGUAAAGGUGGCUGGUAAGGUGAUUUUCCACAGUCCCCCUUGAUGGUUAUCUUUGACCAGCAAGUUCUUCGCAAGGCCCGGUCUAUACUAGUUUGCACAAACCACCCCCUUCACUCUGAGUUUGUAAUACUCUCCUCAGGUCGCAGAUUUAGAGUACCUCGGUUCAAGACCAAUAGGGGUAAAAACUCCUUUGUCCCAUGUGCAAUAACUCAGCUUAAUUUGCACAUGUAAUGUAGUACUUUGUUUUGUUUUUAGAGAUUGUUCCAGUGGUGAUAAAUUGUGUUGUGUGUAUUACAUACAGGAAACCUUUUUUGUACUCA